rnacentral:lncRNA from 1 species
GCGCCGGACGAGGCCCAGCCAGUCUGGGUCUGGCCUGGCCGCCCCUCCAGCCUGCUGGAGCCGGAGCCGGAGCCGGAGCCGGAGCCGGAGCCGGAGCCAGAGCCAGAGCUCGAGGACUCACCGGCCCAGUCUCCGUCCGGGAUGGGGCCCCGCUCCCGGGCGCGUUGCCGCCCAGUCCCGGGGACCGUCCCUACCGCGAGGGUCUGAGGCGCGGCUGCCCCGGGGAGGGUGGAAGGCCAGGCGUGGGGCCCGAACCUCUGGCUGACUUUGGCAGGGCCCAUCUGGCACGGCCUCCGCGGCGCGCAGCUGUUUUCAAGUCAGCAAACAUUUACUGAGGAUCUACUAUGUACAAGAUGAACAUCUGCAACAAGCCCUCCAACAAGACGGCCCCUGAGAAGAGUGUGUGGACGGCACCGGCACAGCCCAGCGGACCCUCCCCUGAGCUGCAGGGCCAGCGAUCCCGCCGGAAUGGGUGGAGCUGGCCCCCUCACCCGCUCCAGAUUGUGGCCUGGCUGCUGUACCUCUUCUUUGCUGUGAUCGGCUUUGGGAUCCUUGUUCCCCUCCUGCCUCACCACUGGGUGCCCGCUGGCUACGCUGUAUCCUUGGGAAAGCGUAGGGCUGGUGUGUGGAAGUGGGGAGGCAAAGGAUGGCUGGCACAGCGGAGGCCCAAAGCCGGGUUGAGAGCCUUGGGGAGCACAGUCAGGAGAGUGGAGCAGGGUGGGCCCAGUCCUGGGGACUUGCUGCUUCCCAGCCUGUCUCCAGCCUCCACCUGACCUCUCCACCUGAUAGGGUGAGUGGGCAUGCCUAAAAUACCUAGGAGCAUAUGAAGCCCCACAAAGAUGUGAAUCCUGUCCACAGAGGCACCACAGGAGCAGUCAUAGAAGGAGGAGCCUCAAACCAUCCUGAUGCUAAUUGUGUUCAGAGCUGAACAAAGGAUGAAGUAGGGAGUAAUUAGUCCAUCUAUCGAAGAAUUUUUCACUUUU